rnacentral:rRNA from 1 species
UGGGGAAUCUUGGACAAUGGGGGAAACCCUGAUCCAGCCAUCCCGCGUGUGCGAUGAAGGCCUUCGGGUUGUAAAGCACUUUUGGCAGGAAAGAAACGUCAUGGUUUAAUACCCCGUGAAACUGACGGUACCUGCAGAAUAAGCACCGGCUAACUACGUGCCAGCAGCCGCGUUAAUACGUAGGGUGCAAGCGUUAUUCGUAAUUACUGGGCGUAAUGCGUGCGCAGGCGGUUCGGAAAGGAAGAUGUGAAAUCCCAGAGCUUAACUUUGGAACUGCAGUUUUAACUGCCAUGCUAGAGGGUGGCAGAGGGAGGUGGAAUUCCGCGUGUAGCAGUGAAAUGCGUAGAUAUGCGGAGGAACACCGAUGGCGAAGGCAGCCUCCGGGGCUAACCCUGACGCUGAUGCACGAAAGCGAGGGGAGCGAACAGG